AGAGUUUGAUCCUGGCUCAGAACUAACGCUUGUGGCGUGUCUUAGUCAUGCAAGUCGAACGAGAAAGCUCUCUUCGGAGGGUGAGUAGAGUGGCGAACGGGUGAGUAACACGUGGGUAACCUGCCUUUCAGUUGGGGAUAACACUCCUAACGGGGUGCUAAUACCGGAUAAUAAGGUGCGACAUAAGUUGUCGCCUUCAAAGGUGGCCUCUGAUUCAAGCUGCCGCUGGAAGAUGGGCCCGCGCCGUAUUAGCUUGUUGGUAGGGUAAUGGCCUACCAAGGCGACGAUGCGUAGCCGGCCUGAGAGGGUGAUCGGCCACACUGGAACUGAGACAAGGUCCAGUCCCCUACGGGGGCCAGCAGUCUAGAAACUUGCACAAUCAACGAAAGUUGGAUGCAGCGACGCCACGUGGAGGAUGAAGCCCCUCGGGGUGUAAACUCCUGUCAGGAGGGAAGAAGGUGCGACCGUUAAUAGCGGUCGUUGCUUGACGGUACCUCCAGAGGAAGCUCCGGCUAACUACGUGCCAGCAGCCGCGGUAAUACGUAGGGAGCGAGCGUUGUUCGGAUUUACUGGGCGUAAAGGGCAGGUAGGCGGACGCGUAAGUCGGUUGUGAAAUCCUCUGGCUUAACCAGAGAAUUGCAGCCGAAACUACACGUCUUGAGUCCAGCAGAGGGAAUCGGAAUCCUAGGUGUAGCGGUGAAAUGCGUAGAUAUCUAGGAGAACACCAGUGGCGAAGGCGGAUUCCUGGGCUGGCACUGACGCUGAGCUGCGAAAGCGUGGGUAGCGAACAGGAUUAGAUACCCUGGUAGUCCACGCCGUAAACGAUGGGUACUAGGUGUUGGAGGACAUUGACCCCUUCAGUGCCGUAGCUAACGCAUUAAGUACCCCGCCUGGGGAGUACGGCCGCAAGGCUGAAACCCAAAGGAAUUGACGGGGACCCGCACAAGCAGUGGAGCAUGUGGCUCAAUUCGAGGCAACGCGAAGAACCUUACCUGGGCUUGACAUCUGGGGAAUUCUUUGGAAACAGAGAAGUGCCUUCGGGAGCCCCAAGACAGGUGCUGCAUGGCUGUCGUCAGCUCGUGUCGUGAGAUGUUGGGUUAAGUCCCGCAACGAGCGCAACACUUGUCCUUAGUUGCCAGCGGGUAAUGCCGGGAACUCUAGGGAUACUGCCUGUUUCAAGCAGGAGGAAGGUGGGGAUGACGUCAAGUCAUCAUGGCUCUUACGUCCAGGGCUGCACACGUGCUACAAUGGCUGGUACAAUGGGCUGCGAUACCGCGAGGUGGAGCCAAUCCCAAAAAAACCAGUCUCAGUUCGGAUUGAAGUCUGCAACUCGACUUCAUGAAGU
rnacentral:rRNA from 1 species